CCCACUCAAAAGUGUCCCCAGGGCACUUGAGCACAUCCCGUGAGUUCCUGACAAGUCCUCCCAACAUGGCGGGAGUCACACAGGAAGCACCGUGUUGGACACUUCCUGUCGGCGCCAGGAACAAUGACUUGUCCCAGGCCAUGACCUCACCUCCGUGGCGGAGCCGGCAAUAAAUCAUCCACCUUGAAACGGAGCAGGUGGUGACGGAUUAACAAGACAGUUGGGAGGUGUAAUGUGCAGCUCUGGCCGCUAGAGGGACUUGAAGACCACCAGGAAGUUGCAUUGCACGGCAGGAGGUUUGAGGGGUUGCCUCCACAUUUUGGCGAGACUCCGGAGCCCCGGGCAGCAGGGGUCUGGGACAGGCUGCCAAAUUUGACGACCACAAGGAAUACCCGCUGGUUUUGUGUGUUUGUACAUGUGCCUUCUCUUUAAUUCAAUGAUGUCACCGAUUGACAGCACUGUCUUUCUCUCUGCAUGCCGGCCAGAGAAAAGAAGGCUGGUAAUAAACAGAAAAGAAUUGAGGUUGUCUUGUGUAAGAAUGUUCUAAUUCAAAUCAGGGAGGAAGCCCUCCCCUGAUUACAAGACAGAUAACGAACAAUAAGACCUUUCUCACAAAUGUUAUGAUCCCCAAACACA